CUCAGAAUGACAUUUAUUCACAGUGAACACGCGCCCCCUAGUGACUGGGAGGAACAAGAUACGAAUGGUCCAUUAGAGGGUCUUGUUGACUGGUGUGGAUUGGGCAGGUGGCGGUGCACGGAAAGGAGCUGGCCCUUUACCGUCCAAUAAAAAUAGCUGCGGUCUCCAUGAUGUCACCGCUGAGUAAAUCAUAGAUCCUGAGAGUGAAGAAGGGGAUAAAAUGAGGCAAAUUUUAAAAGAUAUGUACUUUUUUUUUUACACUUCGCACUUCCAUUGGUAAUUCAGAUUUUUUUUUAUGUCUUGGUUUUCAUAUUAUUCAGAACAACUUACACGAAUGCUCACUGUUUUGCAUUCAUAAAUGCUAGCUUACCUGCAAUCUUGAAGAUGUAGAAAAAAAAAAAAAUAAAAGAUUUCGCCCUUCUCCCACAGGUGACACUGUCAUUUUCAACUAGUCACACCGGCUGUAUGCUGCCAGAAGGGGUGUACAAACUAUAGUCAGAGUCUGAUCUCACUCCCAUACCUGGCAUUCUGGAGCCACAACACCAUGCUGCUGAUGAGGAACCCGAUCAGUCGUAAAUCUUCACUGUUUGACCAUGUGACAUGCCAAAUUUGUGAUUCUGCUCAGUCUCCCUUUGGUAUCUCAUUCUCUUCACCUUUUGCCACCCAGGUCGCUCCUCUAACGGCUCCGUUCUCUGACAGAGACAAUCCUGCAUUCCCCAGAUCAGUUCUUAAGACUUCAGCUCCUUCAUUUUUGAUUUUCUUUGACUUUACAUCUGGAUUCGAACAUGUAAUUUUAAUUGUGUGUGCAUAACUUCAGUGGCCCAACAGGAGGGUGUCAGCUAUGUCGGUAGUAGGAAUGUAGCACCUGUCAGCCUCGCCAAGGAUGCAGUUUUUCCAGAUUUUGCCCAUUUCACAAGAUGAACUACUGAUAAAUAGUGAGGCAGCUUUGGGGGGGUCAUUAACAAAUCUCAAGUGCAAUAAAAAAGUGCAGCCAUUUCUUGGCCUUGGCAAUUCCUGGUAUGUUAACAAGGUGGAAGGAAAAACAAUAAACACUAAUAUUUUUAUUUUC